AAGUCGUAACAAGGUAACCGUAGGUGAACCUGCGGUUGGAUCAUUAACAAAUUCAAUCAAUUUAAAGUUAGUGAGUGAGACGAAAGUUGAGCUCCUUUCUUUAAAACACCCCUGUGAACUGUAUUCUGUAUUUGGUGUAGGUUAAAACAGUCUCCUAGUGGGACUGGCUUUAGGGCACCCACACCAACUCUUACAAAACAUUAUAUUUUUUAUUUAUGUCUUGUUAUUUUUUGUAUUAAGCAAAAAACUUUAAUCAAAAAACAACUUUUGGCAACGGAUCUCUAGGCUCUU
rnacentral:misc_RNA from 1 species